rnacentral:rRNA from 1 species
UACGGAGGGGACUAGCGUUGUUCGGAAUUACUGGGCGUAAAGCGCACGUAGGCGGAUUUGUAAGUCAGGGGUGAAAUCCCGGGGCUCAACCUCGGAACUGCCUUUGAUACUGCAAAUCUCGAGUCCGGAAGAGGUGAGUGGAAAUUCCUAGUGUAGAGGUGAAAUUCGUAGAUAUUAGGAAGAACACCGACGUGGCGGCAAGGACGGCCU